rnacentral:rRNA from 1 species
CGCAGCGAAAAGCGAUAUGUAAUGUGANUUGCAGAUCUACAGUGAAUCAUCGAAUCUUUGAACGCACCUUGCGCUCCUCGGUGUUCCGAGGAGCAUGCCUGUUUGAGUGUCAG